UUUGCAACGUUUGUGCUUUUUGGGUGUACUUUUUCGUAUGGUAGGCCAACAUCAGUUUUGGUUGCUAUAAAAUGAUCGGAGGAAUGUAGCUUCGAUCUCGUAUUGAAGUGUUAUAGCCUCUGGUAGAUGUGGUGAUUGAUACUGAGGAUUGCAAUGAAUACCCUUUGGGCUAUCCGUCUGACCUCUGAAAGUUGCUUAGGUGCCGAAAGCAUGCUUACGGUUAUUUAAGUUGACGGUCAACAGGUUAGAACGUGAUUAUAUUCGUUAAGGGAUGUUGACGUA
rnacentral:rRNA from 1 species